rnacentral:SRP_RNA from 1 species
GCCAGGUGUUGUAGCGGGCGCCUGUGGUCCCAGCUGCUUGGGAGGCGGAGGCAGGAGACUCACUUGAGCCCAGGAGUUGGAGGUUGCUGUGAGCUGUAACGUCAUGGCACUCUACCCAGGGGGAUAGCUUGAGGCUCUGUCUCAAAAAAAAAAAAAGAGUGCUAUGAUUAGAAUUUUUAAAAGGUAGGCACAGGGACCACCAUGUUGUCUAGUGGGCACUGUUGCCUUACUCUUAUUCUUAGGAGGAAAGCUUAACUUCUUUUUUUUUUUUUGAGACAGCGCCUCAAGCUGUUCCCCUGGGUAGAGUGCUGUGGCAUCACAGCUCACAGCAACCUCCAACUCCUGGGCUCAAGCGAGUCUCCUGCCUCCG